rnacentral:rRNA from 1 species
GGGUACCUCGCAAAGCUAAAAUUAUUAAAGAUAAAGAUAGCUUUUUCCAAAAAGAAUCUGUAACCCUGUCGCUGCGUGUCAAUGACACGCGGCGACAGGGAGCCCCACGUGAAAGUGUAGGUUUAUAUCCUAGUUCCCUCAGAGACUAAACGUUAAACAAAAGUAAAAUUUCAUAAAUUUCAGGCUCAUCUGAAUGUCCGCUGGUGAGUCACAGAGAGCCCCUUUUUAAAGGGCGCGCUGUUGGUAAAGCGCGCGGUAAAGGAAUUUUGCUUUUGAUGAUAUAGUCCACAUAUUUAUAACCCGCAGGGCUCCUUCGGAGUCCGGAGGGACCCCUCAGGGUAAUAUAAAUAUUAAAGCCUAAGGUAGCGAAAUUUAUUGUCCGUUAAAUGCGGUCCCGCAUGAAUAAAGUAACGAUGGUCUCACUGUCUCUACAAGCAUCUCAGUGAAAUUGAAUAGCCGUGCAGAUGCGGCUAC